GGCUCGUUGGUCUAGGGGUAUGAUUCUCGCUUUGGGUGCGAGAGGUCCCGGGUUUAUUUAUGGUUCAACACCUAAAUUUUUCA